rnacentral:rRNA from 1 species
GCUUGUCUCAAAGAUUAAGCCAUGCAUGUCUAAGUAUAAAUAACUUUUAUAUUGUGAAACUGCGAAUGGCUCAUUAAAUCAGUUAUGAUCUACGUGACAAAUUCUUUACUACUUGGAUAACCGUGGUAAUUCUAGAGCUAAUACAUGCAAAAAAGCCCUGACUUACGAAGGGGUGCACUUAUUAGAUAAAACCAACGCGGGGUAAAACCUGUUUCUUGGUGAAUCAUAAUAAUUAAGCGGAUCGCAUAGCCUUGUGCUGGCGACGGUCCACUCGAUUUUCUGCCCUAUCAUGGUUGAGAUUGUAAGAUAGAGGCUUACAAUGCCUACAACGGGUAACGGGGAAUUAGGGUUCGAUUCCGGAGAGGGAGCCUGAGAAACGGCUACCACAUCCAAGGAAGGCAGCAGG